CACGCAGGCGGUGCUGCGCGUUUCGCGUGACAGCGGGUGGCUUAACUGCCCGAGGGUGCGAAAGACGGCAGGACUGGAGGGCCAGAGAGGGACACGGAAUUCCGGGUGGAGUGGUGAAAUGCGUAGAGAUCCGGAGGAACACCAAAGGCGAAGGCAGUGUCCUGGCUGGUGACUGACGCUGAGGUGCGAAAGCCAGGGGAGCGAACGGGAUUAGAUACCCCGGUAGUCCUGGCCGUAAACGAUGACCACCAGGUGUGGGAGGGCUCGACCCCUUCCGUGCCGGAGGCAACCCAUUAAGUGGUCCGCCUGGGGAGUACGGUCGCAAGAUUAAA
rnacentral:rRNA from 1 species